rnacentral:lncRNA from 1 species
UGCAGCAUCUUUAUCUCAGUUUGAAUGGUUUUGAAGGAAAUAUACCAUCUCAACUUGGAAAUCUCUCCCAAUUGCAUGAGCUCUAUCUUGUAGGAUAUGACGGUAAUCUCAAAAUUAGUGACGGAGGUCAGUGGCUCUCAAAUCUUAUUUCUUUAACCCAUCUUUACUUGGAUUCUGUAUCAAAUCUUAAUCGUUCUCAUACUUGGUUGCAAGGGAUUGCGAAGCUACCUCAAGUAAAAGAACUAAGUUUAACUAAUUGUAGCCUUUCCGAUGAUUUCAUUCUGUCAUCUAAGUUCAAUUUCUCUACUUCCCUCUCUGUCCUUCAUCUUUCUCAUAACACCUUCACAUCAAUAGUAUUCCAGUGGCUGUCAAACAUCACUUCAGACCUUGUUGACCUUGACCUUAGUGCUAACCUCUUGGAGGGUUCCACAUUAAUUGAUUUUGGCAUCGUCAUGAAUUCGCUUAGGCAUCUUGACCUAUCCUCAAACAAUUUGACUGAAGACCUUCCCUCCAUUCUCGGUAAUUUGUCCAGUGGAUGCGUUAGACAAUCAUUGCAAGAAUUAGAUCUGUCAUGGAAUCACAUCACUGGUACUUUGUCUGACAUUUCAAUAUUCUCCUCUUUGAAAUCAUUGUUUCUAAGGGGAAAUCAGUUAAGUGGAAGGAUACCUGAAGGUGUCAAGUUACCAUCUACUUUGGAGUAUUUUUUAAUUAGCUCAAAUUCAUUACAAGGUGGAAUUCCAAAAUCAUUUGGGGAUGCAUGUUCUUUGUGCUAUUUGGACAUGUCUUUUAAUAGUCUGAGUGAUGAGCUUCCGAUGAUAAUUUCUCACUUGUCUGGAUGUGCUAGAUAUUCAUUGCAACAAUUAUAUCUACAUGAUAAUCAAAUCAAUGGCACACUACCUGACUUCUCAACAUUCACAUCUUUACAAACAUUAGAUCUUUCUGAAAAUAAGCUAAAUGGAGAGAUUCCUAUGGACAUUCAAUUUCCACCUAAAUUGGAGACGCUCUACAUGUAUUCAAAUUCUUUAAAGGGUGUGCUGACUGACUACCACUUUGCUAAUAUGUCUAAGUUACAGAACUUGUAUUUAUCUGACAACUCAUUGGGCUUUGCAUUUACUCAAAAUUGGGUUCCAUCUUUUCAAUUGCUCUCUAUAUACUUGAGAUCUUGCCAGCUAGGUCCAACAUUUCCCACGUGGUUGCAGACACAAAAUAAAUUUGUCGAAAUUGACAUUUCAAAUGCUACAAUAUCAGGUAUUAUUCCUGAAUGGUUUUGGGCUAAAUUACCUCUACAAAAGGUGAUGAAAAUGAAUAUUUCAUACAACAGUCUACAAGGAACAAUUCCAAAUGUUUCAUCAACGUAUGUUUCUAGUUCCAUUCACCUUGGAUCAAAUCGAUUUGAAGGUUCCAUUCCUCUAUUUUUACGGAAUUCUAAAAUUCUUGAUUUAUCAAAAAAUAAAUUCUCAAAUCCUCUUUUAUUUUUGUGUGGAGGUGAUGCAAAUUCAGUUCAAAUUCAUUUAGACAUUUCGUAUAAUCAGUUAUACGGAGAUAUCCCAGAUUGUUGGAAACAAAUGAACUCACUAGUUUAUUUGGAUUUGAGUUAUAAUAACUUUUCUGGAAAAAUUCCAACUUCAAUGGGAUGGCUUCUUGGUCUUCAAGUAUUAUUGUUGAGAAACAACAAUUUAGUAGGAGGAAUCCCAUUCUCCAUAAGAAAUUGCACAAAGCUAGUAAUGUUUGAUUUGUCAGAAAACAGAUUAUCAGGAUCUAUCCCUGAUUGGAUUGGGACAAAAAAAGAGUUGCAAAUAUUAAGUCUGAGAAAGAAUCAAUUCUUUGGGAGUUUACCAUUAAUGGUUUGUUGUCUAAGAAGGCUUCAUCUCUUGGAUCUCUCACAAAACAACUUAUCUGGAAAAAUUCCUAAAUGCAUAAACAACCUUACUUCAAUGGCUCAAACAACAUCUUCAAUAUUUGAUGAAAGUCAUUGGUAUACGUUGGAAAUUGGUCUUUCUAUUACCACCAUAUUUUACUAUUUGAAUGCAUGGUUGACAUGGAAAGGUUCAAAACAAAUGUUUAUGGAUAAAGGUUUGUCACUUUUAAAAAUCAUUGAUCUCUCAAGCAAUCAGUUCUCCGAAGAAAUUCCUAUAGAAAUAGAGAAAUUAUCUGGAUUGAUUUCGUUGAACUUAUCAAGAAACAGUUUGAUUGGAAAAAUUCCUUCAAACAUUGGAAAUAUAACAUCACUUGAUUCUCUUGAUUUGUCAAGAAACCGACUUGUUGGUUCAAUUCCUCUAAGUCUUGCUCAAAUUUAUAGACUUGGUGUGUUAGAUUUGUCUCAUAACCAACUUAGUGGAGAAAUUCCUACAAGCACACAAUUACAGAGUUUCAACAAAUCUAGUUAUGAAGAUAAUCUUGAUCUUUGUGGACCACCACUUGAAAAACUAUGUAUUGAUGAGGAGCUAACAAAAAAACCAAAUGUUAAUGUUUAUAAAGAUGAAUAUUCAUUUUUUAAUAAUGAAUUUUUCAUAAGUAUGGCAAUUGGAUUUGCUCUAAGUUUUUGGAUGGUGUUUGGCUCAAUCUUAUUCAUACGUUCUUGGCGAUGGUCUUACUUCAACUUCUUGAACAACUUAGAAGAUAAUGUUCAUGUCAAAAUAGCAAUUGUUAGAGUAUUUAAGCAUGACAGAGAUUAUCAGGUAACAAUAUCAUGUGUUAUAUAACUUUGCUUUCUAUAUGUAUUAAAAAAUGCACACAUUAUACCAUAUAUUCCUUUUUCAAUAUUUCUAAAGCAUUUUAUUGAUUAAAGUAAAAUUAUCAAUUUUUUUUAAUAUUGAAUCAAUUUUUACAAUUCAAUUAGUUGCUUUUGAAAGUAAUUACGUCAAAGACAUAAGAUUUAAUGCACAAGAGCAAUUAAAUGUGUAAAUAUAACAUGUUAAGUAAUAAAAAAAUGACUUCUUGCUGGUUUAAAUGAGUGCCUUUAGUGUUUAUUUGUUUCAUGUUUUUUUAAUAAAAGUAUGCCCUGGACAACCUUUUGCAAAUUUAGAUGAAAAGUUUGCAUACUACAAAAUAAAAUAGCUAAUAAAAUAAUUGAUGUUCUUGAUAGUCUUAUAAGAAAAAAAAACAACUGUUUCUUCUGAGAUUUUCAAAGAACUAACAUUCUUUACAUUUUAUUUUUCAAUUUUCAGGCACCGGAAACGCAUCGUCUUGCACGACUCCACCUUUGAGCUUUUUGUGGUUGGAAAAGGUAAUGGUUUCAUUAAAUUAUAAACGUCAUUAAUCAUUGUUCUUGUGGUGAAAUUAAAUUGUCAUACAUAUUGUCAUACAUAUAAUAAGGAAAUGAAAAUAUAGAAUAAGUUAAGAGGUUAAAACUGAAAGGAAAGUAUUGGCAAGGAUGUGAGUGUAUGUGAAACAAACAUAGCAUAAAAUAUAGAUCCCACUCUGCACUCCAAAAUAUACAUAUUGAAUAUACGUCAAUGAUAUUUCUAAUCAAUUUAUGCAAAAAAUAUUUCAAGGUACGAAUGUAUGUUGAGUUCUAAAAUUGAUAUCUAUAUGUUAAAAACAAUCAAUAAAUUGAUCCUUUUAAAUUUAAAGAUUAUCAAUUUAGUCUUUGUCACUGUUAAUACCCUUACGAAUUCUAUUUUGGUGCUUAUAGUACAUGCAGUACAUCGCUUGAGCAUCAACUGAACCAGCCCUCACGUAUUUGAGUGAAUUGAACACGAAACGUGUUCUAUGCUGUAAUGGGAGACUCAAUUUUCAAAGUCUUUUUGUUUUAUUUGGAGAAAGUGGUAUAAGGGAUCAUCUCAUCCCACUAUAUACACAAUUAAGUCUUUUUUCUUUGUUUUUGUUUUUGUCGAAUGUAAUAUAUUGGUCAAUGCACUUAAUAAUUUUUUCUAUUGACAUCAUCGUACUAUCAAUCAACUUCUCUUUUUUAAUGACUUCUGUAAUCCACUUUUAUUAACAUUUUUAUGUUAUAUAUAAAUUCUUUUUCAACAUUUCACUAAAAAUCGUAUCUAAUACAUAGUUCAAAUUACACUAAAAAGAUCUAAAAUGUAGGUCAUAAUCG